rnacentral:rRNA from 1 species
AGCCUAACUCUAGCCCAACCACAUCGCAUACAACCAAACAACCAAAAAUUUAUUCCACUACCCACCAAACUAAAACAUUCUCCCGCCUUAGUAUGGGUGACAGAAAAGGCACUAACGCUGGCGCAAUAGAGAUCAGUACCGCAAGGGAAAGAUGAAAUAAUAAUGAAAACUCAAGCAAGAAACAGCAAAGAUUAACCCUUGUACCUUUUGCAUCAUGAUUUAGCAAGAAUAACCAAGCAAAACGAAUUUAAGCUUGCCCCCCCGAAACCUGAGCGAGCUACUCACAAGCAGCUACCCCAUGAGCGAACCCGUCUCUGUUGCAAAAGAGUGGGAUGACUUGUUAGUAGAGGUGAAAAGCCAACCGAGCCAGGUGAUAGCUGGUUGCCUGUGAAAUGAAUCUAAGUUCUCUCUUAAUCUUUUUCCCCCCCGGACACGACCCUAGCCAUCAUGUGAUAGAUCAAGAGUAAUUUAAAGGGGGUACAGCCCCUUUAAAAAAGAACACAACCUCCUCUAGCGGAUAACUGCCUGACUGUCCCCAGACUGUAGGCCCUCAAGCAGCCACCAACAAAGAGUGCGUCAAAGCUCUACCCUAAAAAAAUCUAAAAACUAACAGGACUCCCUCAUCUAUAACAGGCCAACCUAUAACAAUAGGAGAAUUAAUGCUAAAAUGAGUAAUCGGGGGCCACCCUCUAGAGCGCAAGCUUACAUCACCACAUUAUUAACAGACCCUAAACCAAUACUCCGAAUCCAACAAGCUGAGUAUUAAAUCUGUCCUGUUAGCCCAACUCAGGAGCGCCCAUUAGAAAGAUCCAAAUCUGCAAAAGGAACUAGGCAAUCUCAAGGCCCGACUGUUUACCAAAAACAUAGCCUUCAGCCAGCCAAGUAUUGAAGGUGAUGCCUGCCCAGUGACACUUCUGUUUAACGGCCGCGGUAUCCUAACCGUGCGAAGGUAGCGCAAUCAAUUGUCCCAUAAAUCGAGACUUGUAUGAAUGGCUAAACGAGGUCUUAACUGUCUCUUGCAGACAAUCAAUGAAAUUGAUCUUCCUGUGCAAAAGCAGGAAUAAACCCAUAAGACGAGAAGACCCUGUGGAACUUGAAAAUCAGCGACCACUACACACAGCCCAAAACCUACUAGGCCCACGAAUCCAAACAAAACACUGGCCCGCAUUUUUCGGUUGGGGCGACCUUGGAGAAAAGCAAAUCCUCCAAAAACAAGAUCCUACCUCUUGACCAAGAGCAACCCCUCAACGUGCUAACAGCAACCAGACCCAAUACAAUUGACCAAUGGACCAAGCUACCCCAGGGAUAACAGCGCAAUCCCCUCCAAGAGCCCAUAUCGACGAGGGGGUUUACGACCUCGAUGUUGGAUCAGGACAUCCUAAUGGUGCAACCGCUAUUAAGGGUUCGUUUGUUCAACGAUUAACAGUCCUACGUGAUCUGAGUUCAGACCGGAGUAAUCCAGGUCGGUUUCUAUCUAUGACAGACUUUCCCUAGUACGAAAGGACCGGAAAAGUGAGGCCCAUACCACAAGCACGCCUCCCCCCAAGUAGUGAACCCAACUAAACUACCAAACAGGGCUGACCCACAUCCCAACCAUCCUAGAAAAGGAUC